rnacentral:rRNA from 1 species
GCCUACGGGGGGCAGCAGUAGGGAAUUUUCGUCGAUGGGCGCAAGCCUGAACGAGCAAUGCCGCGUGAACGAGGAAGGUCUUCGGAUCGUAAAGUUCUGUUGAAGGGGAAAAAGAGCGGAGAGAGGAAAUGGUCUCCGAUUGAUAUUACCCUUCGAGGAAGUCACGGCUAACUACGUGCCAGCAGCCGCGGUAAUACGUAGGUGGCGAGCGUUAUCCGGAAUGAUUGGGCGUAAAGGGUGCGUAGGCGGCCUGCUAAGUCUGGAGUGAAAGGUACCGGCUCAACCGGUACAGGCUCUGGAAACUG